rnacentral:tRNA from 1 species
CCUUCGAUAGCUCAGUUGGUAGAGCGGUGGACUGUAGUUGGUAAACAUGCAAUAGAAAUCCAUAGGUCGCUGGUUCAAAUCCGGCUCGAAGGA